rnacentral:rRNA from 1 species
UAAUGGGUCAGCGACUUAUAUUCAGUGGCAAGGUUAACCAUCUAGGGGAGCCGUAGGGAAACCGAGUCUUAACUGGGCGUUCAGUCUCUGGAUAUAGACCCGAAACCAGGUGAUCUAGCCAUGGGCAGGUUGAAGGUUGAGUAACAUCAACUGGAGGACCGAACCGACUAAUGUUGAAAAAUUAGCGGAUGACUUGUGGCUAGGGGUGAAAGGCCAAUCAAACCUGGAGAUAGCUGGUUCUCCCCGAAAGCUAUUUAGGUAGCGCCUCGGACGAAUACUACUGGGGGUAGAGCACUGUUAAGGCUAGGGGGUCAUCCCGACUUACCAACCCUUUGCAAACUCCGAAUACCAGUAAGUACUAUCCGGGAGACACACGGCGGGUGCUAACGUCCGUCGUGGAGAGGGAAACAACCCAGACCGCCAGCUAAGGUCCCAAAUUACUACUAAGUGGGAAACGAUGUGGGAAGGCUCAGACAGCCAGGAUGUUGGCUUAGAAGCAGCCAUCAUUUAAAGAAAGCGUAAUAGCUCACUGGUCGAGUCGGCCUGCGCGGAAGAUGUAACGGGGCUAAGUAGUAAACCGAAGCUGCGGCAAUAUACUUUUGUAUAUUGGGUAGGGGAGCGUUCUGUAAGCGGUUGAAGGUGUGUGGUAACGCAUGCUGGACGUAUCAGAAGUGCGAAUGCUGACAUGAGUAA